ensembl:lncRNA
AUUUUAGGGAUUUUGUUCGUAUUUUAGAAUUGGGCUCCUUGUUAAUUAGAUCAUGCUGUGAAGUCAAAGGUACAGCAUUUUGCAUGGUGUAUAACUUUGCAAACAUUGACUAUGUCAGACUAGUUUGCAGAGUUUGUGUCAUUUUCCGGGUUUGUGGCUGUGUUUUUCGCAGUUCUGCUGAGUUCCACCUCUGGGCAGAGCCCUCAUCAACCCACCUGUCAGUAUUGAGCCAGCAGUAUUUAAGACCAGCGCCUGCAACUAUUCUUCGCCAGUUCGACUCCUAACUCACGUUAGCAAUAGGCUGACUUUGCUUCUUGUGAUUUUUCAUGUUCUUGUUAACUUACCUCAUUGUCCUUGCAUUCUACUAGCCUCUUGGACCCAUCAUACUCAACCUUUGCAGUUCUUUUCAUUCACCUGGACUCAGGUCACCCCUGGAAUCUCAAACCACUGAUUCAUGUUCACGGACUCUCAACUCCUCACCUGCCGACCCUCCUGCCACUGCAAUCCCGGAUUACUGGGCCAUUCAGUGCAUCGACUGGUGUGUUAAAUCACUGAUCCCAGCAGUAUCUGACAGAACAACAGGAUCUGACGCAUUAAAAGGACAACAUGUUGUGAGGACGAACAUCAACCGGUGAAAGUCUGCAUAAAGAGCCAUCUCUGCUGCAUGAGCUGCUUCUUUCAACCCCCAGCAGCCUUUCAUCUCGCCUGGAAAAAUGUUGCUGUGGAGUUUUCACACUUAUCGCCCUGCAGGAGAGAGACUUUGACUAACAGCCAACCUCUGUUCAGUUUUCAGAGACUG